rnacentral:rRNA from 1 species
UACGUAGGGCGCAAGCGUUGUCCGGAAUUAUUGGGCGUAAAGAGCUCGUAGGCGGCUUGUCACGUCGGGUGUGAAAGACCGGGGCUUAACCCCGGUUCUGCAUUCGAUACGGGCUAGCUAGAGUGUGGUAGGGGAGAUCGGAAUUCCUGGUGUAGCGGUGAAAUGCGCAGAUAUCAGGAGGAACACCGGUGGCGAAGGCGGAUCUCUGGGCCAUUACUGACGCUGAGGUGCGAAAGCGUGGGGAGCAAACAGG